UACGUAGGGCGCAAGCGUUGUCCGGAAUCAUUGGGCGUAAAGAGCUCGUAGGCGGCCUGUUGCGUCCGCUGUGAAAUCCCGGGGCUUAACCCCGGGCGUGCAGUGGAUACGGGCUGGCUGGAGGCAGGCAGGGGAGAACGGAAUUCCCGGUGUAGCGGUGAAAUGCGCAGAUAUCGGGAGGAACACCGGUGGCGAAGGCGGUUCUCUGGGCCUGUACUGACGCUGAGGAGCGAAAGCGUGGGGAGCGAAUAGG
rnacentral:rRNA from 1 species